AAAAAUGAGAAUAACAUAUAUAUAUCGAACUGUUGUCCUCUCCGUGAGACAAAGUUUCGUACUUACAGAGAAUGCCCUUCUCUUCGUGAGAGGGAUUCCUAUUAUAUGAGAUUCUAGAUCUGGCAAUCAACAGAGUACUAUAAAUGCCGAAGUGUUUUAUCUCCCAGCAAUGAAAUAAGACGAAUAUUGGAUGGAAAUAAAUAGAAGUACAUCCCGAAAUGUGGGGAUUAGAGGAAAGGAGAAAACAAAGGGAUGAGGAAUAUUGUAUAAACACGGGCUGUUCUUCUCCCAGUGUUCUUUUCAUAGCGAGACAAAGAUCGAACACAAGGUCAGCAACUAGGAAGAGGAAAAUAACCAAAUCUAGCGAUUUGUGCAGUUUGCUGGGGGAAGGGCAAUCCAAAGAGACUACAGAACAUUCGAC